GAUCGUGUGAGAGAAAGUGGUUUUGUGGCCUUUAUUGUUUCCCAUGAAAACUUUCUCCUGCACGAGCACUUGGGCGGCAGAGGCAAGAGGAGCUCUGUAAAUUUAAAACCAGGCUGGUUCUACAUCGUUAGUUCCAGGACAGCCGGAGCUGUAUGCCUUCCACAUGCUGGGACUAACAGAUGCACGCCACCAAGCUUGGCAUGGCUUGUGCCUGCAGUGGCGGCUCUGGGAGGCAGGAAAGACACCGACGGUUCAGCUGGCAAAGCACUUGUUGACAAGUCUCGCCACCUGAACUCCAUCCCCUGACCCUACCAGCCCCUUGAAGCUGUCUUCUGACUCCUGUGAUUGGUUAGUUUUUACCCUUUGGCUCUUUGGGGGCCUGCCACCCAG